AAAAGGUUUGGUCCUAGCCUUAUUAUUGAUUGUCAGUAAGAUUAUACAUGCAAGUAUCCGCUAGCCAGUGAAAAUGCCCUUUUACUCGCUCUACCUUGAACGAUCCUUAAGGAGCCGGCAUCAAGCACACAACUGUAGCUCAAAACGCCUUGCUUAGCCACACCCCCACGGGAUACAGCAGUAAUAAAAAUUUAGCUAUGAACGAAAGUUUGACUAAGCUAUACUGAUGAGGGUUGGUCAAUCUCGUGCCAGCCACCGCGGUCAUACGAUUAACCCAAGUCAAUAAGAUUCGGCGUAAAGUGUGGUUAAAAUGUAAGUAUAAUAAAGUUAAAUUAGCUCUCCGCUGUAAAAAGCUAAAGAUCUAAAGUAAAUAAACUACAAAAGUGACUUUACUAAAUAAUGAGACCACGAUAGCUGAGACCCAAACUGGGAUUAGAUACCCCACUAUGCUCAGCCCUAAACUAUGGUAUUUAGUAACAAAAAUGCCCGCCAGAGAACUACAAGCAAGCGCUUAAAACUCAAAGGACUUGGCGGUGCUUCAUAUCCCACUAGAGGAGCCUGUUACAUAAUCGAUAAACCCCGAUACACCCUACCAUCACUUGCUAAACCAGUCUAUAUACCGCCAUCUUCAGCAAACCCUUAAAAGGAACAACAGUAAGCUUAAAUGUAUUCACAAAAACGUUAGGUCAAGGUGUAACCUAUGUGAUGGAGUAUAAUGGGCUACAUUUUCUUAAUAAGAACAAACGAACUUCCAUAUGAAACUUAUGGAAUAAAGGAGGAUUUAGCAGUAAGUCAAGAAUAGAGUGCUUGACUGAAUCUGGCAAUGAAGCACGUACACACCGCCCGUCACCCUCCUCAAGUGACUAGAACCUAAAACCAUAUUUAUAUCCACAUGACAUGAGAGGAGACAAGUCGUAACAAGGUAAGCAUACUGGAAAGUGUGCUUGGAUUAUU
rnacentral:ncRNA from 1 species